rnacentral:rRNA from 1 species
GAUGAACGCUGGCGGCGUGCCUAAUACAUGCAAGUCGAGCGAACAGAUGAGGAGCUUGCUCCUCUGACGUUAGCGGCGGACGGGUGAGUAACACGUGGAUAACCUACCUAUAAGGCUGGGAUAACUUCGGGAAACCGGAGCUAAUACCGGAUAAUAUAUUGAACCGCAUGGUUCAAUAGUGAAAGACGGUUUUGCUGUCACUUAUAGAUGGAUCCGCGCCGCAUUAGCUAGUUGGUAAGGUAACGGCUUACCAGGGCAGCGAUGGGUAGCCAAGCUGGGGGGUGACUCGACCACCCGGCAGCGGGAAACGGUGCCUACCUCCAAGGAGGGCCAGAACGGGGAACUUUCCCCAAAGGGCGAAAGCCUGACGGAGCAACGCCGCGUGAGUGAUGAAGGUCUUCGGAUCGUAAAUCUCUGUUAUCAGGGAAGAACAAAUGUGUAAGUAACUAUGCACGUCUUGACGGUACCUAAUCAGAAAGCCACGGCUAACUCCGUG